rnacentral:rRNA from 1 species
UUGAACGCUGGCGGCAUGCUUUACACAUGCAAGUCGAACGGCAGCGCGGGCUUCGGCCUGGCGGCGAGUGGCGAACGGGUGAGUAAUGCAUCGGAACGUGCCCAGUAGUGGGGGAUAGCCCGGCGAAAGCCGGAUUAAUACCGCAUACGACCUGAGGGUGAAAGCGGGGGACCGAAAGGCCUCGCGCUAUUGGAGCGGCCGAUGUCGGAUUAGCUAGUUGGUGGGGUAAAGGCUUACCAAGGCGACGAUCCGUAGCUGGUCUGAGAGGACGACCAGCCACACUGGGACUGAGACACGGCCCAGACUCCUACGGGAGGCAGCAGUGGGGAAUUUUGGACAAUGGGGGCAACCCUGAUCCAGCCAUGCCGCGUGCGGGAAGAAGGCCUGCGGGUGGUAAACCGCUUUUGUUCGGGAAGAAAUCCUCUGGGCUAAUACCCCGGGGGGAUGACGGUACCGGAAGAAUAAGCACCGGCUAACUACGU